GACGAACGCUGGCGGCGUGCUUAACACAUGCAAGUCGAACGGAAAGGCCCUGCUUUUGUGGGGUGCUCGAGUGGCGAACGGGUUAGUAACACGUGAGUAACCUGCCCUUGACUUUGGGAUAACUUCAGGAAACUGGGGCUAAUACCGGAUAGGAGCUCCUGCUGCAUGGUGGGGGUUGGAAAGUUUCGGCGGUUGGGGAUGGACUCGCGGCUUAUCAGCUUGUUGGUGGGGUAGUGGCUUACCAAGGCUUUGACGGGUAGCCGGCCUGAGAGGGUGACCGGCCACAUUGGGACUGAGAUACGGCCCAGACUCCUACGGGAGGCAGCAGUGGGGAAUAUUGCACAAUGGGCGGAAGCCUGAUGCAGCAACGCCGCGUGCGGGAUGACGGCCUUCGGGUUGUAAACCGCUUUCGCAUGUGACGAAGCGUGAGUGACGGUAAUGGGUAAAGAAGCACCGGCUAACUACGUG
rnacentral:rRNA from 1 species